rnacentral:rRNA from 1 species
CCCUUAGAUGUUCUGGGCCGCACACGCGCUACACUGAAGGAGGCAGCGUGUACUCCUGGAUCGAAAGAUUUGGGUAACCCGCGAAUCUCCUUCGUGCUAGGGAUUGAGGUUUGCAAUUAUCCUUCAUGAACGAGGAAUUCCCAGUAAGUGCAAGUCAUAAGCUUGCGCUGACUACGUCCCUGCCCUUUGUACACACCGCCCGUCGCUACUACCGAUUGAAUGGUUUAGUGAGGACUUCGGACUGGGACCGAUGCGGCUUUCGGGCUGCGUCGGUAUUCUGGAAAGAUGUCCAAACUGUAUCAUUUAGAGGAAGUAAAAGUCGUAACA